rnacentral:antisense_RNA from 1 species
GAUUUUUGGACUUUUUCCUUUUCAAGGUAGUUCGUUGCGGUUGUAACAUUUUGUUGAUUUAUAACACCCACUUGACAGAUACUAUCUUUUUUCAUAAUUUUUUCUCCUAGCCUAACACAGCCCAUAGCAUGUCAAAGCUGUUGUUUUCAAUCAGGAUAUACAUCCCCAAUCCUAAAUAAACAACGGCAAUAAACCAUCUGCUAUAUUUUUCCAAAGUUUCUCCAACAGAAGGGACUUGUGCCAAUUUUUGGGCAGAAAAAACCAAGAGAUAAAUCAUGACUAGAAAGGUAAGUAAAGCCACUAUCAAAUUCGCUAAAUUUAAGGUAGUAAAAUAUGGGACAAAGACACCAAUAUUGUCAGCACCACAACUUGCAAAAGUAAUCAUAGCGACUAGAAAAAUCAGGUUUUUAUUAUCUUUGCUCAAACCUUCUUUGGCAAUAGCUUCUCCAUCAGAAUCUCCUAAAAGCAAAACUUUGAGGCCUAGGAAAAUUGGAAUCAAACCGAGCAAACCUAAA